rnacentral:rRNA from 1 species
AUUGAACGCUGGCGGCAUGCUUUACACAUGCAAGUCGAACGGCAGCGCGGGCUUCGGCCUGGCGGCGCGUGGCGAACGGGCGAGUAAUGCAUCGGAACGUGCCCAGUAGUGGGGGAUAGCCCGGCGAAAGCCGGAUUAAUACCGCAUACGACCUGAGGGUGAAAGGGGGGGACCGAAAGGCCUCGCGCUAUUUGAUCGGCCGAUGUCGGAUUAGCUAGUUGGUUGGGUAAAGGCUUACCAAGGCGACGAUCCGUAGCUGGUCUGAGAGGACGACCAGCCACACUGGGACUGAGACACGGCCCAGACUCCUACGGGAGGCAGCAGUGGGGAAUUUUGGACAAUGGGGGCAACCCUGAUCCAGCCAUGCCGCGUGCGGGAAGAAGGCCUUCGGGUUGUAAACCGCUUUUGUUCGGGAAGAAAUCCUCUGGGCUAAUACCCCGGGGGGAUGACGGUACCGGAAGAAUAAGCACCGGCUAACUACGUG